CAGUCGCCGCGGUAAUACGUAGGUCCCGAGCGUUGUCCGGAUCUAUUGGGCGUAAAGCGAGCGCAGGCGGUUAGAUAAGUCUGAAGUUAAAGGCUGUGGCUUAACCAUAGUACGCUUUGGAAACUGUUUAACUUGAGUGCAAGAGGGGAGAGUGGAAUUCCAUGUGUAGCGGUGAAAUGCGUAGAUAUAUGGAGGAACACCGGUGGCGAAAGCGGCUCUCUGGCUUGUAACUGACACUGAGGCUCGAAAGCGUGGGGAGCAAACAGGAUUAGAUACCCGUGUAGUCCCUGUCUCUUAUACA
rnacentral:rRNA from 1 species